ACCCGGCUAGCUCAGUCGGUAGAGCGUGAGACUCUUAAUCUCAAGGUCGAGGGUUCGAGCCCCUCGCUGGGAA
rfam:Sphaeroforma arctica JP610 cont1.8976, whole genome shotgun sequence.